UUGGCAAUGUUCGCAUCAGAUACUAAACAAAUGACCAAAACAAUAUUGCAAUUUUAUGGCUCAUAUUCUAGAGAAUAAACUGCUUUACGUGGGUGCAUAUAAAGUCUUACUUUAUAGCGAAUGCAAUUUUUAAUCGCCCAUAACUACUUAUGAAGCCAAUAAGGCUUAAAACAGAUCAUUUAUGGUCGAUCGUAUUUCGUAUUCGGAUCGAUUAACAACCCCGUCAAGUAUGCAAUAAAAUUCGCAUCGAACAGUUGAGGGUUUCAAAAGUCGUUAAAUUCCAAUUUGUCGUUGCGUCUAUUUUCGGUUUGUUGUGCAAACUUAACACACGAAUGCCAAUUGAAUGGACAAGCAAACGAGGCAUAAGUCACUUAGUAAGUACUAACUAAGUGUUACUUAGUUAGUCUAUAUACAGCAAUUAGCAUGCAAAAUAGGCGGCAGCUAAAUCGCUUUUCAAAAUGCCAAUCAAAUUGUUUGUGUACGAAAGAAAGAAAGAAAGAAAGCUUUGCAUUUUAUGGCAAUGCCUGGAACAAUUUGAUUAAACAAAAAAUAUCAAAUGAAAUGAAAUGAAUAAACAAACAAACUGUGGUCCAAAUUGACUGAUACUUGCCGAAAAACAUAUGUAGAGAUAUCUAAGUAUAUGAGAGACACAAUAAUUUACGAUUGUUUGCAAGUAACGAGCCAAAAUUAACUAGAGUUGAAUUUCGAAAUUUAUCUUUUCACAGGGUGGUUGGCAACAACGAUUUGAUUUUGGAAUUUUGACACAACAUGUGAAUUUCCAACAAACUUUGAUCAUCACGACACAAUUUCAAAAUAUUCGUAUCAUUUUAUUUUCUUUUAUUUACAAUAAAAAUUCCCCAGAAAACAAAAACAACAACAGCAGAAAAAAAAUCCCGUUUUGCAAACAAUCGUUGAGCGAAGCGUCUGCCAGGUUUCCAUGCGCGUUCAGCACUAAACGAAAAUGCCAACAAAAGAGAAUAAUACAGAAGAACGAGAGAGCAAGAGAGAGAGAGAAAGAACAAGAGAGUGAGAGAAUAACUGGGGCAGAAUAAACGAUCUGCAGUGAGCUUGCGCUUGAGGCUGCGCAACGGAUUUCGUAGACAAAACUAACAAAGUGAAUUUGAAAGCAAAGCAGAAGGAUCGACGACAAAAUACCCUAGGGUAUCAACAACUGGCACUAAUGGAUCCCAUUAAAACUGAAAAUCACGCUCAAAUAACAUUUGUUUGUGGAAUUGAGUGAAAUUUCGCGCAACACGUGCACAAAGUACACAUAGCAUAUGUGUGUGUGUGUACCUCAAGCAAAUGCAAAUGCACUAGAAGUAAUAUUUUAAAUAAACGAUAGAAGUACUUUAGUUCAGUGUUUAUGCGGGCUGUUGACAAACUUACAGCCGAGCAACACAGCAAAUUAAAAUAAACAUAAACAACAAAAGCUGCCGUAAAAUUCUAAUGAUCGGCAACAGCAGUUGAACAUCAAGUGGCUGCGGCACAGCUCAUAAAAAAAAGAGUAAAAUAAAAAUAAAAUAGAAAUGGCGAACCACACGUAGUUGAAGAUAAACUUGGCUAUAUUUAAUUAGUCAUUUAAUGUGUCCAAGUAGCAAGUACUAUGUUUGUAGUUAUCGUGAAAUCAAACUGCAUAAACAAAGCUGCGUGAGUCAAACAGGCGACUGUUGCUUAGGUUCUAUGUCGAAUUAGAUAAAAGACAUAAAAAUAACUGGCCAAACUGUAUAAAUCAUAGCGACGUGCUCACCCCACGAGAGAUCGCAAACAGUACACAAAAAAUAAAAAAAAAAACUAAAUAAAUAAAUAAAUGUGUAUAAAGAAUAAAAGACAAUGAGGUCAAGUGCAAACAUAACUAAACGAGCUACGCUGCCCAGUUGCAGUGCCACAAAAUGAAACGAAAAGCGGGUUAAUCAUACACAACAAAAGAAUGACAAAAUGUAAGAUAAGAAAACUGUUGUGAGUUAAUUAUUUGUUUAACUGAGUGAGGUAUGUAUGCCACAAACAUAAGCUGUUUAUGCAUCUCCGUUGCCCAAAAUGACCUUGACAAAGAUCAGCAUAUGAAGCGGGAGCAACCACAAAACCAAGCCAAAAACAGAAAAAAUAAAAA